rnacentral:ncRNA from 1 species
UUACCCUUGCGCGCUGAUGGUUCCCGGCGACGGGAUCAAAAGGGAACGCAGUGUGAGACUGCGGCUGCCCCCGCAACUGUGAACGGCGAGUCCAUGCCAGAGCAGGCCACUGGGAAACCGGGAAGGCCGGCAGCGGACGUCGACCCGCAAGCCAGGAGACCUGCCAUCAACCGAGUCCAGCAG